rnacentral:rRNA from 1 species
GGUUGAUCCUGCCAGUAGUCAUAUGCUUGUCUCAAAGAUUAAGCCAUGCAUGUCUAAGUAUAAGCAAUUAUACUGCGAAACUGCGAAUGGCUCAAUAAAUCAGUUAUAGUUUAUUUGAUAGUGCCUUACUACUUGGAUAACCGUAGUAAAUCUAGAGCUAAUACAUGCCAAAAAGACCCGACUUCUGGAAGGGUUGCAUUUAUUAGAUACAAAACCAAUGCAGGGCAACCUGGUACUUGGUGAUUCAUGAUAACUUCGCGAAUCGCAGCGUCGAAAGACGGCGAUGAAUCAUU